AUUGAACGCUGGCGGCAUGCCUUACACAUGCAAGUCGAACGGUAACGCGGGGCAACCUGGCGACGAGUGGCGAACGGGGGAGUAAUGCAUCGGCACGUGCCCAGUAGCGGGGGAUAGCCAGGCGAAAGCCGGAUUAAUACCGCAUACGACCUACGGGUGAAAGCGGGGGAUCGCAAGACCACGCGCUCCUUGGGCGGCCGAUGUGAGAUUAGGUAGUUGGCGGGGUAAAGGCCCACCAAGCCUACGAUCUGUAGCUGGUCUGAGAGGACGACCAGCCACGCUGGGACUGAGACACGGCCCAGACUCCUACGGGAGGCAGCAGUGGGGAAUUUUGGACAAUGGGCGAAAGCCUGAUCCAGCAAUGCCGCGUGUGUGAAGAAGGCCUUCGGGUUGUAAAGCACUUUUGUCCGGAAAGAAAUGGCUCUGGUUAAUACCUGGGGUCGAUGACGGUACCGGAAGAAUAAGGACCGGCUAACUACGUGCCAGCAGCCGCCGUAACAC
rnacentral:rRNA from 1 species